rnacentral:snRNA from 1 species
AUACUUACCUGGCAGGGAAGAUACCAUGAUCAUGAAGGUGGUUUUCCCAGGGCGAGGCUUAUCCAUUGCACUCCGGAUGUGCUGACCCCUGCGAUUUCCCCCAAUGUAGGAGACUCAACUGCAUAAUUUGUGGUAGUGGGGACUGCGUUCUUGCUUUCCCCUG